UUCAGACUUCCCAGUUGUGUUGAACUCACUGAAGUUGGAUGUCUGAGAUUUCCCAGUUUCCAGUUGUUUUGAAUGCUGCAUUAAUGCUCAGAGGGAGACGGCAGGGUAUUUAUUCCCUUUGAGUCAGAAACCAAAACUCCUCGAGUUUCCAGUUGUUUUGGAGGUGAUUAGUCAUCAUUCGCGUGGGACUCUUACUGAUGUUGUUUUCUGUUAACAACAGCAUCACAGGCAUGACUAGAACACAAGGUAACGACAGCAUCACCACCACAGACAUGACUAGAACACAAGGUAACAACAAGAUCACCACCACAGACAUGACUAGAACACAAGGUAACAACAAGAUCACCACCACAGACAUGACUAGAAC
ensembl:lncRNA